rnacentral:rRNA from 1 species
AAUCUGCCCUCGGGAGGGGGACAACCGCUGGAAACGGCGGCUAAUACCCCAUAAGCCCACGGGUGAAAGUUCCGGCGCCCGAGGAGGAGCUCGCGUCCGAUUAGCUAGUUGGUGGGGUAAGAGCCUACCAAGGCGACGAUCGGUAGCUGGUCUGAGAGGAUGAGCAGCCACACUGGGACUGAGACACGGCCCAGACUCCUCCAGACUCCUACGGGAGGCAGCAGUGGGGAAUCUUCCGCAAUGGGCGCCAGCCUGACGGAGCUAUACCGCGUGAGGGAAGAAGGCCCUUGGGUCGUAAACCUCUUUUCUCGGGGAAGAAAGAUGACGGUACCCGAGGAAAAAGCCUCGGCCAACUCCGUGCCAGCAGCCGCGGUAAUACGGAGGAGGCAAGCGUUAUCCGGAAUUAUUGGGCGUAAAGCGUCCGCAGGUGGCACCUCAAGUCGGCGGUGAAAGGCUGGGGCUCAACCCCAGACCAGCCGCUGGAAACUGAGGAGCUAGAGUGCGGUAGGGGUAGAGGGAAUUCCCAGUGUAGCGGUGAAAUGCGUAGAGAUUGGGAAGAACACCGGUGGCGAAAGCGCUCUACUGGACCGCAACUGACACUCAGGGGACGAAAGCUAGGGGAGCG